rnacentral:rRNA from 1 species
GGCUCAGGACGAACGCUGGCGGCGUGCUUAACACAUGCAAGUCGAGCGGAAAGGCCCUUCGGGGUACUCGAGCGGCGAACGGGUGAGUAACACGUGAGUAAUCUGCCCUCCACUUUGGGAUAGCCACCGGAAACGGUGAUUAAUACCGGAUAUGACCUGUGCCCGCAUGGGUGUUGGUGGAAAGUUUUUCGGUGGGGGAUGUGCUCGCGGCCUAUCAGCUUGAUGGUGGGGUAAUGGCCUACCAUGGCUUCGACGGGUAGCCGGCCUGAGAGGGUGACCGGCCACACUGGGACUGAGACACGGCCCAGACUCCUACGGGAGGCAGCAGUGGGGAAUAUUGGACAAUGGGCGGAAGCCUGAUCCAGCAACGCCGCGUGAGGGAUGACGGCCUUCGGGUUGUAAACCUCUUUCGGUGGGGACGAAGCGAAAGUGAC